rnacentral:rRNA from 1 species
UACGUAGGGUGCAAGCAUUAAUCGGAUUUAUUGGGCGUAAAGGGCGCGUAGGCGGGCAUGUAAGUCAGAUGUGAAAUCCCGGGGCUCAACCUCGGAACAGCAUUUGAAACUGCAUAUCUAGAGGGUAGACGGAGAAAACGGAAUUCCACAAGUAGCGGUGAAAUGCGUAGAUAUGUGGAAGAACACCAGUGGCGAAGGCGGUUUUCUAGUUUACACCUGACGCUGAUGCGCGAAAGCAAGGGGAUCAAACAGG